CACAGCGUGCUGCGUGUAUCUCGCUCUCGUGGGAAUAUUUGGUUUGGCACUAAACAUUUUCCUUGUAAUACUUUUCAAGACAGAUAAAAAGUUGCAGACAGAUUUCUACAAACUAGUUCUUAGCCUUCUGAUCUCAGAUAUAUUCAUCAUCUGUAUGGGUGUCCCAGUAGACUUCUACAGUUCUUAUAGAGAGGGCUGGGCACUUGGAGAGGUAUGGUGCACUGUUUUUGGAUUCCUAAUCACAAC